rnacentral:lncRNA from 1 species
UUUAAUUUAAUGUAAAUUAAAUCAACUUGAAUCUUAAUGUGCAGGAAAUUAAUUCACACACAAUUUCUUUUUCCCUUCUGCUAAAACCCUAAAACAUCAAUUACAGUCACCACUGUCACCUUGCACCAUGUAGCAGCUGCCAGCCACGGACCACUGUGCGCUGCCGGCCAAUCCACCGUGCGAGCCACUGCACAAAUUACCACGCCGCUAAAGGGUCCAGGAACCUCCGCGUCGCAGCCACGAACCACCGUGCACGAAGACAGACUAUGCAAACGCUCACGCGAACCACCGCGCCGCAUCAAUACCGUGUUGCAUGAACCAUCGCGUCACACUAGCCACCAUGCUGCGCGAACCAUCGCACUCCUUCACGUCGACCAAGUUGCGGCCACCUGCUUCGUCGGCUGUAGAUAUAUGUGUUAACGAAGAUAUGCGGGUUGACAGCAGUGUUCACAUGUUUGGGUUCACAAGGUGUUAACGCCGUUAAUGGCGUCUAGUUUAGGACAAUUAGGGUUCUGUUAUUAUGGCGUGAAAACCUUAAUCUAUAAACCUUUAGUUAGUCUUCGCGUGCGGUGGUUUGUGGCUGCGACGCGGAUGUUCUUGGACCCUUUAGCGACACUGUGGUUCGCGCAGUGGAUUGCCCGGCAACGCGCAAUGGUCUGUGGCUGGCAGCUGCCGCAUGGUGUAAGGUGAUGGUGGUGGCUGUAAUUCAUGUUUUAGGAUUUUAGAAAAUAGGAAAAAUAAACUAUGUGUGAAUUAAUUUCCUACAUAUUAAGAUUUAAG